rnacentral:rRNA from 1 species
UACGUAGGUGGCAAGCGUUGUCCGGAUUUACUGGGCGUAAAGGGAGCGUAGGUGGUUAUUUAAGUGGGAUGUGAAAUACUCGGGCUUAACCUGAGUGCUGCAUUCCAAACUGGAUAUCUAGAGUGCAGGAGAGGAAAGUAGAAUUCCUAGUGUAGCGGUGAAAUGCGUAGAGAUUAGGAAGAAUACCAGUGGCGAAGGCGACUUUCUGGACUGUAACUGACACUGAGGCUCGAAAGCGUGGGGAGCAAACAGG